UACGUAGGGCGCAAGCGUUAUCCGGAAUUAUUGGGCGUAAAGAGCUCGUAGGCGGUUUGUCGCGUCUGCCGUGAAAGUCCGGGGCUCAACUCCGGAUCUGCGGUGGGUACGGGCAGACUAGAGUGAUGUAGGGGAGACUGGAAUUCCUGGUGUAGCGGUGAAAUGCGCAGAUAUCAGGAGGAACACCGAUGGCGAAGGCGGCU
rnacentral:rRNA from 1 species